CGGCGAGUAGCGCAGCUUGGUAGCGCAACUGGUUUGGGACCAGUGGGUCGGAGGUUCGAAUCCUCUUUCGCCGACCA
rnacentral:tRNA from 2 species